rnacentral:rRNA from 1 species
GAUGAACGCUGGCGGCGUGCCUAAUACAUGCAAGUCGAGCGAACAGACGAGGAGCUUGCUCCUCUGACGUUAGCGGCGGACGGGUGAGUAACACGUGGAUAACCUACCUAUAAGACUGGGAUAACUUCGGGAAACCGGAGCUAAUACCGGAUAAUAUAUUGAACCGCAUGGUUCAAUAGUGAAAGACGGUUUUGCUGUCACUUAUAGAUGGAUCCGCGCCGCGUUAGCUAGUUGGUAAGGUAACGGCUUACCAAGGCAACGAUGCGUAGCCGACCUGAGAGGGUGAUCGGCCACACUGGAACUGAGACACGGUCCAGACUCCUACGGGAGGCAGCAGUAGGGAAUCUUCCGCAAUGGGCGAAAGCCUGACGGAGCAACGCCACGUGAGUGAUGAAGGUCUUCGGAUCGUAAAACUCUGUUAUUAGGGAAGAACAAAUGUGUAAGUAACUAUGCACGUCUUGACGGUACCUAAUCAGAAAGCCACGGCUAACUACGUG